GUGGGGAAUAUUGGGCAAUGGGCGAAAGCCUGACCCAGCAACGCCGCGUGAGGGAAGAAGGUUUUCGGAUCGUAAACCUCUGUCCUUAGUGAAGAGUAAGAGACGGUAGCUAAGGAGGAAGCCCCGGCUAACUACGUGCCAGCAGCCGCGGUAAUACGUAGGGGGCGAGCGUUGUCCGGAAUGAUUGGGCGUAAAGGGCGCGUAGGCGGCCUGUUAAGUCCGGAGUGAAAUUCCUGCUUUCAAGGUAGGAAGUGCUUUGGAAACUGGCGGGCUGGAGUGCAGGAGAGGUUAGCGGAAUUCCCGGUGUAGCGGUGAAAUGCGUAGAGAUCGGGAGGAACACCAGUGGCGAAGGCGGCUAACUGGACUGUAACUGACGCUGAGGCGCGAAAGUGUGGGGAGCAAACAGGAUUAGAAACCCUGGUAGUCC
rnacentral:rRNA from 1 species